rnacentral:rRNA from 1 species
AACGAACGCUGGCGGCAUGCCUAACACAUGCAAGUCGAACGAAGCCUUCGGGCUUAGUGGCGCACGGGUGCGUAACGCGUGGGAAUCUGCCCUUUGGUUCGGAAUAACAGUUGGAAACGACUGCUAAUACCGGAUGAUGACGAAAGUCCAAAGAUUUAUCGCCAGAGGAUGAGCCCGCGUAGGAUUAGCUAGUUGGUGUGGUAAAGGCGCACCAAGGCGACGAUCCUUAGCUGGUCUGAGAGGAUGAUCAGCACACUGGGACUGAGACACGGCCCAGACUCCUACGGGAGGCAGCAGUGGGGAAUAUUGGACAAUGGGCGAAAGCCUGAUCCAGCAAUGCCGCGUGAGUGAUGAAGGCCCUAGGGUUGUAAAGCUCUUUUACCCGGGAUGAUAAUGACAGUACCGGGAGAAUAAGCCCCGGCUAACUCCGUGCCAGCAGCCGCGGUAA